rnacentral:rRNA from 1 species
UACGGAGGGUGCUAGCGUUGUUCGGAAUUACUGGGCGUAAAGCGCGCGUAGGCGGACCUGCAAGUCGGGGGUGAAAGCCCGAGGCUCAACCUCGGAACUGCCUUCGAUACUGCGGGUCUCGAGUCCGAGAGGGGUGAGUGGAAUUCCUAGUGUAGAGGUGAAAUUCGUAGAUAUUAGGAAGAACACCAGUGGCGAAGGCGGAUCACUGGCUCGGUACUGACGCUGAGGCGCGAAAGCGUGGGGAGCAAACAGG